GUGGGUUUUUCUUGUUAUUAUGUCCAGGAGUUGAUGGGGACACUGCUGGAAGAAAAACUCGCCAACCUUGUUGGAGUCUGGGGAUCUGUGUCCUUCCGGGUUUACUGGGCCUCUAUUCCUUUCUGAUGAUUGGACUCUACCUGUGCUCAGGUAAACUGGGUCCUUGCUGCUGUAAUCCAGGGAUUCAGCGUUCUUUGAGGAUCACAGAGGAAGAUUCUUUACAUUACUCCAGUCUGAGGCAUCCAGAUAAGCCCCGCCCGUCUGUCAAGACCAGACCUAGAUUGGCAGAAGACCUGGUCACAUAUUCUACAGUGACCACUCGCAAAAACUUAAAUGGAUAACAAGCAGAAAAUAGAUCAUUUUAUUUCUGCUCAGCGACUCUUAAUAUGACAUUUGUUGAUUCUUAGGAAACUUUAUUCUACCGUAGUUUAAAAGUAAAAUCAUUUUCUAUUGUUUUUUUUCUGAUUAAUUUUCAAAUAUAUAUAUAUUUUUCCAGUAAAUCUAGAGCAUACACGGAUUUCUAGAUAACUGCUUUAGUCCUUCAGUAGAGCUAAAUAAAAUAUUAAUAUUUCAAAUCUUCUGCUAUACCCACAAAGCGGGACACAAUAUGGGACUACAAUGCAAUUCAAUAUAAAAAAUAUAGCAAUGUAUUUUAAGCACCUCUUAGCCUCGUGUGCAAUUACAUUUCAAUUAAUAUCAAAGCAAAAGUAGCAAUUCUGAAAAUAAAUUUCAUGUUUGCAAUUUAGUUUACAAUUUUAGUUUAGGAUUAACCUAACAAUAAAUCGUUCAGUUCACAUUUUUAAAUCACAUGAUUUGAAAUUUAAAAUCUGAAUCUCUUUUAUAUCUGACGAAGAAAGAAAGUAUCGUUAGUUUUGUUGUUGUUGUUUCUAUGUGAAUACAACCCUAUACAUAUUAAAUAUAACUGAAUCUGUUAAUAUGAGGUUGAUCUGGACUCCUAACAGAAUAAAGGUACAGUACAGCAACAAAUUCAAUAGCUCAUAUAAAAUGUAAUUAAUUGCUAUAAUUAAUAUAUAUAGGAUAUCGUAAGAGUUUUGAACUGGUGCUAUGACAAAGCAAAGACAAACAACAAAUCAACAUACCCAGGUAACAUAAUCUCAUUAUUCUCAAGAUGAAUAUGAGGUAUAAUGUAAGCUAUAUCACUCAUUUUUGUUAUACUGUUAAAAUUUUGUGUAACUGUGGUAAAAAUGUUUUUUUUUCUUUUGCUUCCUGCUGACAUCUAUAUAACCAGUAAGCUACUUACAUCAAGAAUGUAAAUAUGGGCAAUAAUGCUGGCAGAAGCUGAACCCUGAGGAUGGAGGGGACUCGUACAAAACCCUGAUGUGAAGAAAUUCUCAUGUAUGAAAAAGUUACCAGCUCAGCUCAGCAUAACAUUUCCUUUGUUUUAUUAUUUUUUAAUUUUUUAGAGUGUGCAUUUGUAUUCCACUGUCAAUUAUGGGUCCAUUUUUUUCAGUAACUCAAAUGUAAAUAUGUUUAUGAUAUUAAACUAACUUUCAUAAAGUGUUUAAGAAGUAAAAAGCUGAUUUUGUGCAAAACUGUUGAUUUGCAGCAUCUUGUUGACAUUCCUCUUUGUUACAAAUAUAAAUGAAAUGUUGUUUUCAGUACCUUCUUUACAG